CGCUAGCGACAGGCCUAACACAUGCAAGUCGAGGGGCAGCGCGGGAGAAGCUGCUUUCCUGGCGGCGACCGGCGCACGGGUGCGUAACAGGUGUGCAAUCUGUCCGUAUACCGGGGCAUAGCCCAGCGAAAGUUGGAUUAAUUCUCCAUGUGAAGCGAUACCGCAUGAUAUUGCUUUGAAACGUAAGGGUAUAGGGUGAGCGACGCUUCUGAUUAGAUAGUUGGUGAGGUAAACGGCUCACCAAGUCGACGAUCAGUAGGGUUCUGAGAGGAAGGUCCCCCACAUUGGAACUGAGACACGGUCCAAACUCCUACGGGAGGCAGCAGUGAGGAAUAUUGGUCAAUGGGCGAGAGCCUGAACCAGCCAAGUCGCCGUGAAGGAUGAAGGUUCUAUGGAUUGUAAACUUCUUUUGUCCGAGGGUAAAAAAGGCCACGUGUGGCUUCUUGCAAGUAUCGGACGAAUAAGCAUCGGCUAACUCCGUGCCAGCCGCCGC
rnacentral:rRNA from 1 species